AGAGUUUGAUCCUGGCUCAGGAUGAACGCUAGCGGCAGGCUUAACACAUGCAAGUCGAGGGGCAGCGCGGGAUAGCAAUAUCCUGGCGGCGACCGGCGGAAGGGUGCGUAACGCGUGAGCGACAUGCCCGUUGCCCGGGGACAACCGGUGGAAACGCCGACUAAUCCCCGAUGGGAUAUUGUGCCGCAUGGCACGAUAUUGAAAGUUACGGCGGCGACGGAUUGGCUCGCGUCCGAUUAGCUUGUUGGCGGGGUAACGGCCCACCAAGGCUACGAUCGGUAGGGGUUCUGAGAGGAAGGCCCCCCACAAUGGGACUGAGACACGGCCCAUACUCCUACGGGAGGCAGCAGUGAGGAAUAUUGGUCAAUGGGCGGAAGCCUGAACCAGCCAUGCCGCGUGCGGGAAGGAGGCCCUAUGGGCUGUGAACCGCUUUUGCCUGGGGGCAAUAAGGGCGUCGCGCACGUCCGAUGAGAGUACCAGGCGAAUAAGCAUCGGCUAACUCCGUGCCAGCAGCCGCGGUAAUACGGGGGAUGCGAGCGUUAUCCGGAUUCAUUGGGUUUAAAGGGUGCGUAGGCUGUGCGUCAAGUCGGGGGUGAAAUUCCGGUGCUCAACACCGGGGCUGCCCUUGAUACUGUCGCGCUGGAGUGCGGAUGCCGCCGGAGGAAUGAGUGGUGUAGCGGUGAAAUGCUUAGAUAUCACUCAGAACACCGAUUGCGAAGGCAUCUGGCGAAUCCGUAACUGACGCUGAGGCACGAAAGCGUGGGGAUAGAACAGGAUUAGAUACCCUGGUAUUCCACGCCGUAAACGAUGAUGGCUAACCGCCGGCGACACACUGUCGGUGGCCAAGCGAAAGCGAUAAGCCAUCCACCUGGGGAGUACGUCGGCAACGAUGAAACUCAAAGGAAUUGACGGGGGCCCGCACAAGCGGAGGAACAUGUG
rnacentral:rRNA from 1 species